AAAAGGAUAAUACCAAGGAAAACUAUGGGUGGGGGCAGUGAAUGGCCAGCAUGCCUAUAAUCCCAGCACUUGAAGCCAGGAGUUCGAGACCAGCCUGGGAAACAAAGCAAGACCCUGUGUCUAAAAAAAUUUUUUUAAAAAUAAGCUGGGCAUGGUGGCACGUGCCUAUAGUCCCAGCUACUCAGCUACUCGGGAGACCAAGACAUGGAAUAAACUUGACAAGUGCUAAAGAUGCUCUUUGAUUUUUGUGUGGCAUGAGACCUCAGGCUGAAACUUCUCAUCUGAGCCAUUGAAGGGAGCCUCUCAUCUCUCCACCGAGAGGGGAGACCAGAAUGGCUCCUUCAGGCACAUUCUGUUGGGCUUCCCUCUACCUCCCCACUCUGCUGCUUCCCCGCUCUUUUUGAAUUUCUCCCUGUUGAGGAGAGGGAAGACCAGCUAGGAGAGGAUCUGGAUUGAGAAACUUGCCAUGCUUUUCUCUCAGAUGUUCUCUUUUCUCUGAAGACAGCAGGACCUCAUCCAAAGCUCUGUUU
rnacentral:lncRNA from 1 species